rnacentral:rRNA from 1 species
GAUGAACGCUGGCGGCAUGCCUAAUACAUGCAAGUCGAACGAGAGACCUUCGGGUCUCUAGUGGCGAACGGGUGAGUAACACGUAGGGAACCUGCCCGCGCACCGGGAAUACGCUCUGGAAACGGAGAACAAAUCCCGAUGUACAGGAAGGAGGCAUCUUCUUUCUGUGAAACAUCCUUUAGGGGAUGGGGCGCGGAUGGACCUGCGGUGCAUUAGUUGGUUGGCGGGGUAAAGGCCCACCAAGACGAUGAUGCAUAGCCGGCCUGAGAGGGCGGACGGCCACAUUGGGACUGAGACACGGCCCAG